rnacentral:tRNA from 1 species
ACUUGAAUAGCUUAAGUUUAAAAGUUCAGUAUUGAAGAUACUGCGAUAAGUAUAUUACUUUUCAAGUA